UCGCUUUGGCAGCACGCAUGCUAAAAUCAGAACGGUGCAGAGAACAGUGGCAAGGCCCCUGAGCAAGGGCGACAUGCAAAUUGUUGUGUUUUUUUUUUUUAAU
rnacentral:snRNA from 1 species